GGGGGGAGGAGCCAAGAUGGCUGAAUAGGAACAGCUCCGGUCUACAGCUCCCAGCGUGAGCGACGCAGAAGACGGGUGAUUUCUGCAUUUCCAUCUGAGGCUUAAAAAACGGCGCAUCACGAGAUUAUAUCCCGCACCUGGCUCGGAGGGUCCUACGCCCACGGAGUCUCGCUGAUUGCUAGCACAGCAGUCUGAGAUCAAACUGCAAGGCGGCAGUGAGGCUGGGGGAGGGGCGUCCGCCAUUGCCCAGGCUUGCUUAGGUAAACAAAGCAUUUGGGAAUCUCGAACUGGGUGGAGCCCACCACAGCUCAAGGAGGCCUGCCUGCCUCCGUAGGCUCCACCUCUGGGGGCAGGGCACAGACAAACAAAAAGACAGCAGUAACCUCUGCAGACUUAAAUGUCCCUGUCUGACAGCUUUGAAGAGAGCAGUGGUUCUCCCAGUACGCAGCUGGAGAUCUGAGAACGGGCAGACUGCCUCCUCAAGUGGGUCCCUGACCCCUGACCCCCGAGCAGCCUAACUGGGAGGCACCCCCAGCAGGGGCACACUGACACCUCACAAGGCAGGGUAUUCCAACAGACCUGCAGCUGAGGGUCCUGUCUGUUAGAAGGAAAACUAACAAACAGAAAGGACAUCCACACCAAAAACCCAUCUGUACAUCACCAUCAUCAAAGACCAAAAGUAGAUAAAACCACAAAGAUGGGGAAAAAACAGAACAGAAAAACUGGAAGCUCUAAAAAGCAGAGCGCCUCUCCUCCUCCAAAGGAACACAGUUCCUCACCAGCAAUGGAACAAAGCUGAAUGGAGAACGACUUUGACGAGCUGAGAGAAGAAGGCUUCAGACUAACAAGGCUGAAUCUCUUGUUAGGAACAAAUGCAGCUGGUGACUUUAAGGUGAAGCUUGUAUUUAUUUACCGUUCCGCAAAUCCUACAGCCCUUAAGAUUUAUAUUAAAUCCACUCUGCCUGUGCUCUAUAAAUGGAACACAAAAGACUUGAAGUUAGUACAUGUGUUUACAGCAUGAUUUCCUGAAUAUUUUAAGCCCGCUGUUGAGAACUACUCCUCAGAAAAUCAGUAGCUUCUUUCAACAUAUUACUGCUCAUUGAUAAUGCAUAUUGUCAGCAAAGACUUCUGCUGGAGAUAUACGAGAUUAAUGUUUUUCUGCCUGCUAACACAAUAUUCAUUCUGCAACCCAUGGAUCAAAGACUAAUUCUGACUUUAGGUUUUAUUAUUUGAGAAAUACACUAUGUAAGACUAGAAUAGGCAGGGAUUCCUUUGAUCUAGGCAAAGUAAAUUAGAAACCUUUUGGAAAAGAUUCACCAUUCUAGAUAUCAACAACAUUUUUUAUUCAUGGAGGAUGUCAAAAUAUCAACAUUAGCAGGAGUUUAGAAGAAAUUGAUUCCAACCCUCAUGGAGGAUGACCUUGAAACCGUCAAGACUUCAGUGGUGGAUGUAACUACAGAUGUGGUAGAAAUAGCAAGAGAACUAGAACUAGAAGUGGAGCCUGAAGAUGUGACUAAGUUUUCACAAUCUCGUAAUAAAACUUGAACAGAUGAGAACUUGCAUCUUUAGGUUGAGCAAAGAAAGUGGUUUCUUGAGAUGGAAUUUACUCCUGUAAAGGAUGCUGUAAACAUUAUCAAUAUGACAACAAAAAAUUUAGAGUAUUACAUAAACUUAUUUGGUAAAAACAGCAGCAAGUUUCAAGAGGACAGACCAAUUUUGAAAGAAGUUCUACUGUGGAUAAAAUGUUAUCAAAAAAACAACAUCACAUAUUUGUUGUUUUUAUUUUAAAUCAAAGUAUGUUUAUUGUUUUCUUAACCAUAAUGUUAUUUCACACUUAAUCAACUACAGUAUA
ensembl:lncRNA novel transcript